GACGAACGCUGGCGGCGUGCUUAACACAUGCAAGUCGAACGGAAAGGCCCUGCUUUUGUGGGGUGCUCGAGUGGCGAACGGGUGAGUAACACGUGAGUAACCUGCCCUUGACUUUGGGAUAACUUCAGGAAACUGGGGCUCAUACCGGAUAGGAGCUCCUGCUGCAUGGUGGGGGUUGGAAAGAUUCGGCGGUUGGGGAUGGACUCGCGGCUUAUCAGCUUGUUGGUGGGGUAGUGGCUUACCAAGGCUUUGACGGGUAGCCGGCCUGAGAGGGUGACCGGCCACAUUGGGACUGAGAUACGGCCCAGACUCCUACGGGAGGCAGCAGUGGGGAAUAUUGCACAAUGGGCGGAAGCCUGAUGCAGCAACGCCGCGUGCGGGAUGACGGCCUUCGGGUUGUAAACCGCUUUCGCCUGUGACGAAGCGUGAGUGACGGUAAUGGGUAAAGAAGCACCGGCUAACUACGUG
rnacentral:rRNA from 1 species